UCUUACGUCAGUGCUUUCAGGACUGGGCAAAGAAGAUGACAAAGGCCUUUCAGACCCUUGUCUCAUCUACUCAGCCAGUGAUCUGGCCUUUCAUGAGAGAGCUGACUUUCCUUCCUUCAGUAGAAGGGAGAGCCUCCUUGGCUGAAUAACACUUCUGAGAGUCGAGUCAAUGUCCUGGAUUUACUCCCAUGGGCCACAUGUCUCCCAGGGUUUGGGAGAUGCAGGGGUGGCUGAGCUAGCCCAUCUGACUCCACUCCGGGCACCUCUGCAAUGUAUCCUUGCUUGCUGCAGGGAUACCAGAGUUUGUUCAAGGAGGCUCUUGUCCCAUGUCUGACUUUGAGGGAUCACGCAGUAGGUAGGUGUCCUUGCCACCCUGUGGGGUACCUGCACACAGCAUCUCAGCGGUCACUUC
ensembl:antisense Gm17099 predicted gene 17099